rnacentral:tRNA from 1 species
AGGAAGUGUGGGUGAGUGGCUGAAACCACCAGUUUGCUAAACUGACGUACGGGUAACCGUACCGGGGGUUCGAAUCCCCGGCAUUCCUUCUUA